rnacentral:rRNA from 1 species
AGCCUGAACGCUGGCGGCGUGGCUAAGACAUGCAAGUCGUACGGACCCGCAAGGGUCAGUGGCGAACGGGUGAGUAAUGAAUCGCUAAUGUGCCCCGGACUCAGGGAUAGCUACUCGAAAGGGUAGGUAAUACCUGAUGACAUAACCUUGUCGCAUGGCAGGGUUCUCAAAGGUCCGCCGGUCUGGGAGCAGGCGAUUUCGUAUCAGCUAGUUGGUGAGGUAACGGCUCACCAAGGCGACGACGCGUAGCCGGACUGAGAGGUUGGCCGGCCACAUUGGGACUGAGACACUGCCCAGACUCCGUACGGGGGGCUGGCAGUAACGAAUCUUCCGCAAUGCACGAAAGUGUGACGGAGCGACGCCGCGUGGUGGGACGAAGUCCGUUCGGGAUGUAAACCACUGUACGAGGGUUACCAAGGUUCUGAGGACGCCCCGAGACGGAAGGCGACGCUAACUCGUGU